rnacentral:rRNA from 1 species
UACGGAGGGUGCAAGCGUUAUCCGGAUUUAUUGGGUUUAAAGGGUCCGUAGGCGGACUUAUAAGUCAGUGGUGAAAUCCUGUCGCUUAACGAUAGAACUGCCAUUGAUACUGUAAGUCUUGAGUAUAUUUGAGGUAGCUGGAAUAAGUAGUGUAGCGGUGAAAUGCAUAGAUAUUACUUAGAACACCAAUUGCGAAGGCAGGUUACCAAGAUAUAACUGACGCUGAGGGACGAAAGCGUGGGUAGCGAACAGG